CAUUAAUGAGGGGUUAGUGUGUGUGUGAUGGGCUUAAUUCUGCUUAGUGCAACCUAAAAAACUACAGAACACAGCUGGGCUGGGCAGUGGUGGCACACAUCUUUAAUUCCAGCAUUUAGGAAGUGAGGCAGUUGGAUCUCUGAGUCUAUAGACCAAACUUUGUCUAGGGGGAGAAAAGGAAGAAACCAGCAAACAAACUACAGAACACAUCUCAGAAUUGAUGUGUUAAGGCACUAGAGACAAGGAAGGGGCUACAGACAUGGCUCAUGGUAGAGUUCUUACUAGCCCAGAAUCCUUGAAGGCCAAUCCUCAGGACCACUAGGGAGGAGGGGGAACUAUAAACCAGGAACUCUUUGUCCUUAUAGUGUUAGCUUUCCAGUACCUCUCCCCAGCCCAGUGCCUGGAAGAGCAUGCUUGUAGGGCCAGAAAGCACACGGGCAGUCACCAAUGAACUGUUUCAUGUACCAAGACUCUUGAGAAGUCAGACCCUGCAAUAGGCCCCAGGAACAUGACCUCCCACCAAGCAUCACUGGACUGAGAAGCCAGAUGUGAACCAAAGCAGCUGCCUGUCUUGAGCUUUGCCAUUAGCACCUACAGGGUAGAGAGGAAAAGACAUAUUUCAAGAGAACCAUGUCUUGGGUAAUCAGCAGGUAGUUAUAUAGCAACAGUAAUUCAAGUUUUAUAGGCUUUUCAAAUAAAAGAAAUGGCUCUUGAAGUCUAGAAAUUGGUGGGUAACCCCUGUGAGGAAUCUGAACUACUUUUUCCUUUCCAGCAGUAGCAGGGAUUGAACCUAGGACUUCAUACAUCCUGAACCACUGAGCUUUCGCCCCACCCUGCUGGAUAUAUUGCUUUAAAGCAUGAUUUUGUCUCUGCCAUGAGAUUUUUUUCUCAGUGCCUCAUUCGGAGCAGGGCCACUUACAGACUGCUGUGAUCCAUCCAUCCCAUGGAGCCCUUAUUAUACGUCACAUGAUAUGUGAUGUCAUCCUUCAUAUGGAAUUCAUUCUCCCUUUUCCUCAACUUAUAUUUAUUCUGCUCAAAAAUGAACAAAUAUAAAAACCCACUUCAAGGCUGGGCAUGGUGACAGAUUCUUGUAAUCCCAGAACUUGGGAAGUGGAGACGAGAACAGGGCCACCCUUGGUCAGUAGGUGAGU
rnacentral:lncRNA from 1 species